rnacentral:rRNA from 1 species
GAUGAACGCUGGCGGCGUGCUUAACACAUGCAAGUCGAACGGAAAGGCCGAAGCUUGCUUCGGUACUCGAGUGGCGAACGGGGGAGUAACACGUGGGUGAUCGGCCCUGUACUUCGGGAUAAGCUUGGGAAACUGGGUCUAAUACCGGAUAUGACGAGCUCUUGGAGGGGGAUGUGGAAAGCUUUUGCGGUAUGGGAUGAGCUCGCGGCCUAUCAGCUUGUUGGUGGGGGAGUGGCCUACCAAGGCUUCGACGGUUAGCCGGCCUGAGAGGGUGUACGGCCGCAUUGGGACUGAGAGACGGCCCAGACUCCUACGGGUGGCAGCAGGGGGGCAUAUUUCACACUGGGCGCCAGCCUGAUGCAGCGACGCCUCGUGGUGGAUGACGGCCUUCGUGUUGUAAACUCCUCUCGCAAUCGACGAAGCCUUUUGGUGACGGUAGGUUGAGAAGAAGCACCGGCUAACUACGUG